rnacentral:misc_RNA from 1 species
UCAUUGGAUAUCACGCGCCGCGCGUCGCCUGUCGUGAGUUGCGUCGCGCUGGCUGCCGAAGCCCGAAGACGAGGAAAGGGAUUGACUGCACCCUCGCAAUUGUUCUGAGUGGAGUAACCCAAAUCCCACGAGGACGUCCAAAGUGAUCGUCACGCGUACAUUUUGGGGUCAGUAGAUGAGGAGGAACAGAGGCAGCACGUGCCGCCGACUACACCGUUGUCAGGGUAACGACGACCUUGUCCCGCGCAAUCAGCUCCGGAAUCCUGGUACCCUCUCUUCCGGUAUUUUUACCAAUCGUGGACACACACGUUUGGAAAACAAGAGAAGAAGACAAAGAUUGUAGGACUCGAAAACGGAGUUUUGCGGUCGAUACACAGGCCGUGUUAUUUCCUCAAAAAGGAUUCGACGAUGAUCGAGGUACAAGGAUAGCAGAGAGAGAAGUAGUGCGAGAGAAAAGAGGGGAGGGUGUCGCAGGAA